rnacentral:rRNA from 1 species
AACGAACGCUGGCGGCAGGCCUAAAACAUGCAAGUCGAACGCUCUAGCAAUAGGGAGUGGCGCACGGGUGAGUUACAUGUGGGAAUAUGCCUUUUGGUACGGAACAACUUUUGGAAACGAAAGCUAAUACCGUAUGGUCCCUCCGGGGUAAAGAUUUAUCGCCAAAAGAGUAGCCCGCACUGGAUUAGCUAGUUGGUAAGGUAAUGGCUUACCAAGGCGACGAUCCAUAGCUGGUCUGAGAGGACGAUCAGCCACACUGGGACUGAGACACGGCCCAGACUCCUACGGGAGGCAGCAGUUAGGAAUAUUGGACAAUGGGCGCAAGCCUGAUCCAGCCAUGCCGCGUGAGUGAUGAAGGCCUUCGGGUUGUAAAGCUCUUUAGUCCACGAAUAUAAUGACUGUAGUGGAAGAUAAGCCCGGCCUAACUUCGUGCCAGCAGCCGCGGUAAU